ensembl:snoRNA Gm23233 small nucleolar RNA SNORA70
UUGCAGCCAAUUAAGCUGACCAAGUCCCUUUCCCCAUGGGGCGUGGUGUGCACUGAUCACAAACUGCAGCUACCUUGGGAGUGUAUGCAGUCUGAUGCCUAUGUAGGCUGCUCAGAGGGACCUUGGAGACAAUU